rnacentral:pre_miRNA from 1 species
GCGAGCUGCAGAGAAAAACCGCCGCACGUGGUUUGACUCUAUGUUUUAUUUGAAAUUUUUUUCUCAAUUAAUAUUUUUAAUUGUUACUGGAUAAUAAAAUAUGAAUAAUAACUUCAUGCUUAAUUAACUUUUUAAUUUUUUUACAAAUUUUCAAAUAAAACGAAUGGUCAAACUUUAGACACAGAAAUCGAAAAAUAAAUUUAUU